rnacentral:lncRNA from 1 species
GACCCUCCUUCUUGUCUGAGCAACCAGGCAAGCCCCCCCUUUGGUCAUCCCAAUAUCGCCCAUUCUAUACUCUCAUGCUUGCAUUAGAUUUUGCUACUGUUAUUGUUUGCUCUUAUUCUGAUGCAUAGCCUGCUCUUUUACCUGCUAUUGUUACCUACCUGCUUAUCCUAAACUGCUUAGUAUAGGUUGGCUAGUGAUCAAUCAUUGACCCCCACCUUGUCCUUGUCGCCCCUGCUUCAUCAUCGACAACUCGAUCAACGUGAUCGACGACCAGAGCCCGACACCUCACAUCACAUCACGCCCCUUUUGUUGCUCGACUCUGCAGAGCUACUAUCGAGUGCCGAGGGUGAUCCCUCAUAACGCACUCCUGAUGAUAAUUCUAUAGUGUAGCUAUUCGGUCGUGGUCAUCGAGGGUGAUUUCCUCUUUCACCAUUCCCGAUACGGCUCUGUCAUUCAACACCUCAAGUGUGAACCUCGAGGGUGGUCCCUCUUACGUUCACCUUGAUGAUUACAUUGAGUGGAAUCCACCGGGAGUGAUUCCUCGGGUUUUCCCCUUGAUGUUUGGACACACGGUUACAUUGGCUUUACUUGAGACCUUGGUGAAAGUCGAGAGGGCCCGGAGAGCACCCGCAAGAUAAUGACGUGGCACGACCGGGCAUUCUGAGCCCUUGUCGUAAGUCCACGAGACGGGGCGACAGGGUCACUUUUGAUCGUGAGUCUCUGCUCGUCUCCGCAAGCUAAUAAUACACUAUGGUUUGGGUAUUUGUUCUGAGUUGGCCUUUGGCCUUUACGCACCAACCACCACGUGAGAAUAGUUAUGGGCCUCGACGUCGUGGUAUUAGUCGAAGUUUUGUCAGACGUCCAGUUCAGCAUUGUGGGCCUGUCGCGCCAGUGCCAUCCAGUAUGAGGUGGUGCUCGUCCCGGCUCGUCGCACAACGACCCGGAGUGCAACGGGCGAUGGGCCCAGACCCCGAAGUGCUUAGGAUGUAAACCGGCGGGGACCUCUCUGCUGAGCCUAGGUAGGGCUGCGACGUGUUGAUCUUCUGAGGCCGAGCAUUGACCUAGAAAAGUGUGUCCGGCCAGAGUGAUCGAGCGUGUUGGAAAACGUGGUGCACCCCUGCAGGGAAGAUUAUCUAUUAAUAGUCGUGUCCACAGUAACGGACGUUCAGACUUAUAUCCUGAUGUUAUACAACUACCAAUGGAUACUUGAAUAUGUGGCUCCGAGAUUGCUUUCUCGCAGGGAGUCGAGGAAAGAUCUCUGGGCAUUAAUGUUACAACAUGUUUGUUAAUUAUAAACUGCUAUUCUUUACUCUUCUACAUGCUGCAAGAUGCGAGGAGCUGCGUGAAGAUGCUAGUCUUCGAUAGGCUAGGCCUUCCCCCUCUAUUCUGGCAUUCUGCAGCUCAGUCGAAAAAUACAAACCUUCCAUUUGAUACCAAUGCAUACUUAGUAUAGAUCUGAUGCUUGCGAGUACAUUGGAUGAGUACUCACGGUUGCUUUGCUACCCCUUUUCCCCCUUCUUUCUUCUUUCCGGUUGAUGCAACCAGGUGGUGGAUCCUUGGAGCCAGAUGCCACCGCCGACGGAUACUGCUACUUGGAGACCGCCGCCGACGAGGAGUAGUUAGGAGGUCCCAGGCAAGAGGCCUUGCCUCUUCGAUCGUGUUGCUUUUGUGCUAGCCUUCUUAAGGCAAACUUGUUUAACUUAUGUCUGUACCCAGAUAUUGUUGCUUCCGCUGACUCUUGUGUAUCGAGUGUAUCGAGCUAUGUAUUCGAGCCCUCGAGGCCCCUGGCUUGUAAUAUAAAGCUUGUAUUAUUUUAUUUGUGUCUAGAGUUGUGUUGUGAUAUCUUCCCG